UGGCAAAAGAUGGACCACCAUCAAUGCAUCCAAAUGCGCUACAAUGAAGAUGCAGCAAUUCUGAAGCGAUUUGUGGAGAAAAAUCGUAUUUAUGAUUUUCUUGCAGGAUUAAAUGUUGAAUUUGAUGCUAUAAGAGUGCAGAUUUUGGAAAAUUUGGACUUACCAUCUUUGAAUGAGACAAUCUCUAUUAUACGUGCUGAAAAGGGACGUCAAAAUGUUAUAAUUGAACCUCAAGGGGGAAAUGGUUCUACACUUGUUACCAAAGCCACAGAAUUGAAAGAGACGGACACUCCUUCAUUAGUUACUCGAGGGGACUCAACCAAACCAUUCAAUCAAAAUUUUCUAUUCUGCACAUAUUGCGAGAAGCAUCGUCACACCAAGGAGAGAUGCUGUAAACUUCAUGGCAAGCCCAAUGAAAAACCUAAUCGAAGUGUGAAUGAUUGAAGUCGGGGCACAUAUGGUGAGUACUUCGUCAACUAGCAAAGAAGAUUCUAAAAAAUCUGCUUCUGAAUUUAACAUCGAAGAAAUUGAAAAAUUAAAAACCUUUUUGGGAUCGUUUGAGAAGGCAACCUCGACAGGUACUUGUUCAUUGAUGUUUUCAGGUAUUUCUUCUUCCUCUUGUACUAAUGUCUCAAAAAGAAAGUCUCCUCCCAUGUGGGUGAUUGAUUCCAAAGCCACUGACUAUAUGACUUGUUCCUCCAAACAUUUUAUCUCUUAUACUCCAAAUUGUAGCCAUAAAAAUAUCACAAUAGUCGA
rnacentral:lncRNA from 1 species